GGCUUCGUGGCCCAAUGGCAAGGCGUCUGACUACGACUUCCCAUGAUCUACAUGGGGAACAACACACCCGCUGGAAUUCGGCAUCAGGAGAUUCUGGGUUCGAUCCCCAGCGAAGUCA